UACAGAGGUCCCAAGCGUUGUUCGGAUUCAUUGGGCGUAAAGGGUGCGUAGGCGGCGCGGUAAGUCGGGUGUGAAAUCUCGGAGCUUAACUCCGAAACUGCAUUCGAUACUGCGGUGCUUGAGGACUGGAGAGAGACUGGAAUUCAUGUGUAGCAGUGAAAUGCGUAGAGAUCGAUGAGGAAGACCAGUGCGAAGCGGGUCUCUGGACAGUUCCUGACCAGCUGAGAACACGAAGGCCAGGGGAGCAAACGGG
rnacentral:rRNA from 1 species